rnacentral:misc_RNA from 1 species
AAAAACUCCUGCCCUGCAGGGUCUUGGGCUCCGUCGCGGGACGGGCCUGAAAAUCAGUGGCGGCGUCCGUCGACCCUAAGCGUAGUAAAUCUCCUCGCUACAGGGCCUCGGCGGGUGGCUAGCUAUAACCCCAACUCUCAAU